AUACGGAGGAUCCGAGCGUUAUCCGGAAUUAUUGGGUUUAAAGGGUGCGUAGGCGGCGCGCUAAGUCAGGGGUGAAAGACGGUGGCUCAACCAUCGCAGUGCCUUUGAUACUGGCGCGCUUGAAUGUACCUGAGGUAGGCGGAAUGUGGCAAGUAGCGGUGAAAUGCAUAGAUAUGCCACAGAACACCGAUUGCGAAGGCAGCUUACCAAAGUACGAUUGACGCUGAGGCACGAAAGCGUGGGGAUCGAACAGGAUUAGAUACCCUAGUAGUCC
rnacentral:rRNA from 1 species